GACGAACGCUGGCGGCGUGCUUAACACAUGCAAGUCGAACGGAAAGGCCUGCUUUCCCUUGUGGAUUGCGGGUACUCGAGUGGCGAACGGGUGAGUAACACGUGAGUGAUCUGCCCCCAACUUGGGUAUAAGCCUGGGAAACUGGGUCUAAUUCCCGAUAGGACUGCAGGGUGGUGCCUGUGGUGGAAAACGAUUUUCUAGUGGUUGGGGAUGAGCUCGCGGCCUAUCAGCUUGUUGGUGGGGUAACGGCCUACCAAGGCGGCGACGGGUAGCCGGCCUGAGAGGGUGGACGGCCACAUUGGGACUGGGAUACGGCCCAGACUCCUACGGGAGGCAGCAGUGGGGAAUAUUGCACAAUGGGCGGAAGCCUGAUGCAGCGACGCCGCGUGGGGGAUGACGGCCUUCGGGUUGUAAACUCCUUUCGACCGCGAGGAAGCCACCUGGUUGGAAGGGUGGUGACGGUAGUGGUAGAAGAAGCACCGGCUAACUACGUG
rnacentral:rRNA from 1 species